CUGCCACACUCGACCCGCGGCCUCGAAUCAGUCAACAGCUCAUCCUCGAAGUUCGUCCAGUGGGAGGGGAACCUGUCACACUCAACCCACUGCUCUAGAACUGUCGAGUUCACAAUCCUAAGAUUCCGGAAUCUAUUUCCCAAGCCUCUAGGGUAAUCUCAAACCCUAUGAUAUCGACCUAUCUAGGUCCAAUGCACUUUCCAUCCUAGGUCUACCCGACUCUAGGUUUAACGCCCUUCUCACAUAACCAAUGUUCUUUAAACUAGGUUAAUACCUCUCUACCUAGGUUUUUAUUAACCCUAGGUUCAACAACACUAGAAUCAAUGUCAACCUAUGUUCAUGACGCUAGGUUAAUGCCACUCGAUCUAGCCUAGGUUCACGACACUAGGUUCAACAUCAAUCUUAUUCAUCCUAGGUUCUCAAUCCUAGGUUCAUAUUCGACCUAUGUUAAUUACACUAGGUUCGAUAUCAUUCCUGUUUAACCUAUGUUUACUAACACUAGGUUAGAUGCCACUCGAUCUAUUUGAUUCUAGGUCUACUCACGACCUAUGUUCUUUAACACUAAGUUAGAUGCCACUCGAUCUAUUUGACACCCUAGUUGUCCAUCGAGUAGUCUAUGGUUUUCACGUUCUUAUUUCCAACGUCAUGUUCUCUACGCAAUCUGGAGUUAUCCACCAAGUUCACAUGCAUAUAUAAUCUCACAAUGCUUUCUUAUUUCCAAUGCCAUGUUCUCUACGCAAUUUGGAGUUAUCAACCAAGUUCACAUGCAUAUAUAAUCUCACAAUGCUAAUCAUGCCCUUUAUAAUCUCACAAUGCUAUUCAUGCAUUUAUAAUCUCACAUAUCAUUUUAUAUGCACCUACUCAGCAUUUGC
rnacentral:lncRNA from 1 species